rnacentral:rRNA from 1 species
CCCUUAGAUGUCCUGGGCUGCACGCGCGCUACACUGAUGUGUCCAGUAAGCACCUAACCUAUUCCGAGAGGAGCGGGUAACCUUAGCAAAGCACAUCGUGAUGGGGAUAGAUUAUUGCAAUUAUUAGUCUUGAACGAGGAAUUCCUAGUAAGCACAAGUCAUCAGCUUGUGUUGAUUACGUCCCUGCUCUUUGUACACACCGCCCGUCGCUCCUACCGAUUGAAUGUUCCGGUGAGCUCUUCGGACUGCGCGGUCUGCAGUUUCUGCGUUCCGUGCGGAAAGUUGUGCAAACCUUAACAUUUAGAGGAAGGAGAAGUCGUAACA